rnacentral:rRNA from 1 species
UGCAAGUCGAACGGCAGCGGGGGCUUCGGCCUGCCGGCGAGUGGCGAACGGGUGAGUAAUGCAUCGGAACGUACCCAGUCGUGGGGGAUAACUACGCGAAAGCGUAGCUAAUACCGCAUACGCCCUGAGGGGGAAAGCGGGGGACCUUCGGGCCUCGCGCGAUUGGAGCGGCUGAUGUCGGAUUAGCUAGUUGGUGGGGUAAAGGCCUACCAAGGCGACGAUCCGUAGCUGGUCUGAGAGGAUGAUCAGCCACACUGGGACUGAGACACGGCCCAGACUCCUACGGGAGGCAGCAGUGGGGAAUUUUGGACAAUGGGCGCAAGCCUGAUCCAGCCAUGCCGCGUGAGUGAAGAAGGCCUUCGGGUUGUAAAGCUCUUUCAGACGGAAAGAAAUCGGGCGCGUGAAUAGCGUGCCUGGAUGACGGUACUGUCAGAAGAAGCACCGGCUAACUACGUGCCAGCAGCCGCGGUAAUACGUAGGGUGCGAGCGUUAAUCGGAAUUACUGGGCGUAAAGCGUGCGCAGGCGGUUGUGUAAGACAGGUGUGAAAUCCCCGGGCUUAACCUGGGAACUGCGCUUGUGACUGCACGGCUAGAGUACGGCAGAGGGGGGUGGAAUUCCACGUGUAGCAGUGAAAUGCGUAGAUAUGUGGAGGAACA